UACGAAGGGGGCUAGCGUUGCUCGGAAUCACUGGGCGUAAAGCGCACGUAGGCGGGUCGUUAAGUCAGGGGUGAAAUCCUGGAGCUCAACUCCAGAACUGCCCCUUGAUACUGGCGAUCUCGAGUUCGGGAGAGGUGAGUGGAACUGCGAGUGUAGAGGUGAAAUUCGUAGAUAUUCGCAAGAACACCAGUGGCGAAGGCGGCUCACUGGCCCGAUACUGACGCUGAGGUGCGAAAGCGUGGGGAGCAAACAGG
rnacentral:rRNA from 1 species